GAUGAACGCUGGCGGCGUGCCUAAUACAUGCAAGUCGAGCGAACAGACGAGGAUCUUGCUCCUUGGACGUUAGCGGCAGGCGGGUGAGUAACACGAGGAUAAUCUACCUAUAAGACGGAGAUAACUUGGGGAAACCGGAUCUAAUACGGUAUAAUAUAUUGAACCGCAUUGUUCAAUGGUGAAAGACGGCUUUUCUGGCACGUAUAGAGGGAUCCGGGCCGCAUUAUCUAGUUGGUAAGGUAACGGGUUAGCAAGGCGACGAGGCGUGAGCGACCUGAGGGGGGGGUAGCCCGCACUGGAAGGUAGCCGCCGACAAGAGUACUAAGGGACGCCGCAGUAGGGAAUGUUCCGCAGCGGGCGAGAGUAUGACGGAGUAAGGCCGAGUGAGUGAUGAAGGUCUUCCGAUCGUAAAAAUCUGUUAUUAGGGAAGAACAAAUGUGUAAGUAAAUAUGCACGGAUUGACGGUAAUUAAUAAGAAAGCAACGGCUAACUACGUG
rnacentral:rRNA from 1 species